rnacentral:rRNA from 1 species
AUACGUAGGGACCGAGCGUUAUCCGGAAUUACUGGGCGUAAAGGGCACGCAGGCGGUGAUUUAAGUCAGCUGUUAAAUGUAUGGGCUUAACCCAUGCAAGCGGUUGAAACUGAAUGACUAGAGUACUGGAGAGGUAAGCGGAAUUCCCGGUGUAGCGGUGAAAUGCGUAGAUAUCGGGAAGAACACCAGUGGCGAAGGCGGCUUACUGGCCAGUAACUGACGCUGAGGUGCGAAAGCCAGGGUAGCGAACCGGAUUAGAUACCCGGGUAGUCCUGGCCGUAAACGCUGAAUGCUAGGUGUGGGUGGGUAGAACCAUCCGUGCCGGAGUUAACGCGCUAAGCAUUCCGCCUGGGGAUUACGACCGCAAGGUUGAA